rnacentral:rRNA from 1 species
UACGGAGGGUGCGAGCGUUGUCCGGAAUCAUUGGGCGUAAAGGGCGCGUAGGUGGCCCGGUCAGUUCGUGGUGAAAGCGCGGGGCUCAACCCUGCGUCGGCCAUGAAUACUGCCGCGGCUGGAGCACUGUAGAGGCAGGCGGAAUUCCGGGUGUAGCGGUGGAAUGCGUAGAGAUCCGGAAGAACACCGGUGGCGAAGGCGGCCUGCUGGGCAGUUGCUGACACUGAGGCGCGGCAGCGUGGGGAGCAAACAGG